rnacentral:rRNA from 1 species
AUUGAACGCUGGCGGCAGGCCUAACACAUGCAAGUCGAACGAGUGGCGGACGGGUGAGUAAUGUCUGGGAAACUGCCUGAUGGAGGGGGAUAACUACUGGAAACGGUAGCUAAUACCGCAUACCAUCGGAUGUGCCCAGAUGGGAAUAGCUAGGAGGGGGGGGACCGGCUCACCUAGGCGACGAUCCCUAGCUGGUCUGAGAGGAUGACCAGCCACACUGGAACUGAGACACGGUCCAGACUCCUACGGGAGGCAGCAGUGGGGAAUAUUGCACAAUGGUCGCAAGCCUGAUGCAGCCAUGCCGCGUGUAUGAAGAAGGCCUUCGGGUUGUAAAGUACUUUUAGCGGGGAGGCGUUACCCGCAGAAGAAGCACCGGCUAACUCCGUGCCAGCAGCCGCGGUAAUAC